rnacentral:rRNA from 1 species
UAAGCGGAGGAAAAGAAACUAACNAAGGAUUCCCCUAGUAACUGCGAGUGAAGCGGGAAAAGCUCAAAUUUAAAAUCUGGUGGUCUUUGGCCGUCCGAGUUGUAAUUUAGAGAAGCGUCUUCCGCGCUGGACCGUGCACAAGUCUCCUGGAAUGGAGCGUCAUAGAGGGUGAGAAUCCCGUCUUUGGCACGGACACACCAGGGCUUUUGUGAUGCGCUCUCGAAGAGUCGAGUUGUUUGGGAAUGCAGCUCAAAAUGGGUGGUGAACUCCAUCUAAAGCUAAAUAUUGGCGAGAGACCGAUAGCGAACAAGUACCGUGAGGGAAAGAUGAAAAGCACUUUGGAAAGAGAGUGAAACAGUACGUGAAAUUGUUGAAAGGGAAACGCUUGAAGUCAGUCGCGUCGACCGAGACUCAGCCUUGCCUUGGCUUGGUGUACUUCUCGGCUGACGGGUCAGCAUCAAUUUUGCCCCUUGGAUAAUGGUGAGGGAAAUGUGACACCUUUACGGUGUGUUAUAGUCUCUUGUCGCAUGCAAGGGUCGGGAUUGAGGAACUCAGCACGCGCCCUUGGGCGUCGGGGCUUUUGCCCACGAUACGUGCUUAGGAUGUUGGCAUAAUGGCUUUAAACGACC